rnacentral:rRNA from 1 species
CAGCCGCCGCGGGAAUACGAAGGGGGCUAGCGUUGUUCGGAUUAACUGGGCGUAAAGGGCGCGUAGGCGGGUCUUUAAGUCAGGGGUGAAAUCCCAAGGCUCAACCUUGGAACUGCCUUUGAUACUGGAGAUCUUGAGUCCGGGAGAGGUGAGUGGAACUGCGAGUGUAGAGGUGAAAUUCGUAGAUAUUCGCAAGAACACCAGUGGCGAAGGCGGCUCACUGGCCCGGUACUGACGCUGAGGCGCGAAAGCGUGGGGAGCAAACAGGAUUAGAUACCCCCGUAGUCCCUGUCUCUUAUAU